rnacentral:piRNA from 1 species
UAACAUAAUGUUUUCAAAGGGUUUC